UACGAAGGUCCCGAGCGUUAUCCGGAUUUAUUGGGUUUAAAGGGUGCGUAGGCGGGUUAUUAAGUCAGUGGUGAAAGCCUACAGCUUAACUGUAGAAUUGCCAUUGAUACUGAUGAUCUUGAGUAUGAUUGAGGUGGGCGGAAUGUGUCAUGUAGCGGUGAAAUGCUUAGAUAUGACACAGAACACCGAUUGCGAAGGCAGUUCACUAAGUCAUAACUGACGCUGAUGCACGAAAGCGUGGGGAGCAAACAGG
rnacentral:rRNA from 1 species